GUCUAUGGCCAUAGCACCCUGAACGCACCCUAUCUCAUCUGAUCUUGGAAACAGCCGGGUCAGGCCUGGUUAGUAGUUGGAUGGGA
rnacentral:rRNA from 1 species